rnacentral:tRNA from 1 species
GAAAAAGUCAUAGAGGUUAUGAGAUUGGCUUGAAACCAGUUUUAGGGGGUUCGACUCCUUCCUUUUUCU